rnacentral:rRNA from 1 species
AGAGAGAGACAUGCGCGCAUAUCAAUAAGCGGAGGAAAAGAAACUAACAAGGAUUCCCUUAGUAACGGCGAGUGAAGCGGGAAGAGCUCAAAUUUGAAAUCUUCAAGGUUCUACCUUGACGAAUUGUAGUUUAUAGAAGUGUUUUCUGUUAGUGGAGUGGCAAAAGUUCUUUGGAAUAGGACAUCAUAGAGGGUGAGAAUCCCGUAUUUGGUCAUUCCUCCUAGCGUUGUGAUACACUUUCAACGAGUCGGAUUGUUUGGGAAUGCAGUCCAAAAUGGGUGGUAAAUUUCAUCUAAAGCUAAAUAUUGGCGAGAGACCGAUAGCGAACAAGUACCGUGAGGGAAAGAUGAAAAGAACUUUGAAAAGAGAGUUAAACAGUACGUGAAAUUGUCAAAAGGGAAGCGUUUGACACCAGUGUUGUUUAGUUGAAAAUCAAUUCAAUAGUUUUUGAUUCUAAGUAGUAUUGACUUCAUCAGCUUGCUGCUUUCUUCUCAGAAAUUAUUGAAUGCACUUUUCAGUUAACAAGUCAACAUCAAUUUCUUUUGUUGUAAAAGGGUAAGAGGAAGGUGGCUUGCGCUUCGGCUCAAGUGUUUAUAGCCUUUUAUCUCUGCAAUCGGAGAGAUUGAGGUCUGCAGCGUAGAUCCUUCGGGGUUAGAUACAUUGGUGCUAAGCUAUAGCCUUGUAUAGACAACUUGUUGACUAUGCUCAGUCAUGUAGCUUACUCGCUGAUGCUAUUUUACCUACGCUUAGGAUGUUGAUAGUCACAGCGUGUAC